GACGAACGCUGGUGGCGUGCCUAAUACAUGCAAGUCGAACGGAGCGGCGGACGGGUGAGUAAUGCCUAGGAAUCUGCCUGGUAGUGGGGGAUAACGUCCGGAAACGGGCGCUAAUACCGCAUACUAUCAGAUGAGCCUAGGUCGGAUUAGCUAGUUGGUGGGGUAAAGGCCUACCAAGGCGACGAUCCGUAACUGGUCCGAGAUGAUGAUCAGUCACACUUGAACUGAGACACUGUCCAUACUCCUACGGGAGGCAGCAGUGGGGAAUAUUGGACAAUGGGCGCAAGUCUGAGCCAGCCAUGCCGCGUGUGUGAAGAAGGUCUUCGGAUUGUAAAGCACUUUAAGUUGGGAGGCGUUACCAACAGAAUAAGCACCGGCUAACUUCGUGCCAGCAGCCGCGGUAAUAC
rnacentral:rRNA from 1 species